rnacentral:rRNA from 1 species
GCAAGUCGAACGGUAGCAUUUCUAGCUUGCUAGAAGAUGACGAGUGGCGGACGGGUGAGUAAUACUUAGGAACAUGCCUUUGUGAGGGGGAUAACUAUUGGAAACGAUAGCUAAUACCGCAUAACGUCUUCGGACCAAAGGGGGCUUCGGCUCUCGCGCAGAGAGUGGCCUAAGCGAGAUUAGCUAGUUGGUGUGGUAAAGGCUCACCAAGGCGACGAUCUCUAGCUGUUCUGAGAGGAAGAUC